rnacentral:lncRNA from 1 species
GUUAUACUGAAAAACAGUGUUUUUGUAGCUGAGAGUUUGCUCUAUCAAAUAGUGUUACUGUGCUUUUUGCAUCUGUUGUAGUUUCCAAGGAAAUAUAUAGGAGACAUUACUUUUUGAGUGACCAAACAUAACAUUUUUUUCUUCUCUCUAGAUGAUCCAUAUUUCACUGCUUUUGGAGAGAUCUCUGAGGAACGAGACACAGACAUUUUUCCUGCUGGUUUGAUUAGUCAUCUCCAGGGAAGAAAGCCAG